rnacentral:rRNA from 1 species
GAUGAACGCUGACAGAAUGCUUAACACAUGCAAGUCGAUGGGGAAGGCUGAGCUUGCUCAGCUGGUAACCAUGGCGGACGGGUGAGUAACGCGUAAGGAACUUACCUGCGGGACUGGGAUAACGGAGGGAAACUUCUGACAAGACCGGAUAAAGUUACUGGGCAGCAUUGUUUGGUAAUGAAAGGAGACGCCUGCGGAGAGUCUUGCGUCCUAUUAGCUAGUUGGUUGGGUAACGGCUGACCAAGGCGAAGAUAGGUAGCCGGCCUGAGAGGGUGGACGGCCACAAGGGGACUGAGAUACGGCCCUUACUCCUACGGGAGGCAGCAGUGGGGAAUAUUGGACAAUGGGGGCAACCCUGAUCCAGCAAUUCUGUGUGCACGAAGAAGGUUUUCGGAUUGUAAAGUGCUUUCAGCAGGGAAGAAGGAAGUGACGGUACCUGCAGAAGAAGCGACGGCUAAAUACGUGCCAGCAGCCGCGGUAAUACGUAUGUCGCGAGCGUUAUCCGGAAUUAUUGGGCAUAAAGGGCAUCUAGGCGGCCUAACAAGUCAGGGGUGAAAACCUGCGGCUCAACCGCAGGCCUGCCUUUGAAACUGUAAGGCUGGAGUACCGGAGAGGUGGACGGAACUGCACGAGUAGAGGUGAAAUUCGUAGAUAUGUGCAGGAAUGCCGAUGAUGAAGAUAGUCCACUGGACGGAAACUGACGCUGAAGUGCGAAAGCCGGGGGAGCGAACAGG